GCUGCCUUAGCUCAGUUGGUAGAGCGGUCGUCUCGUAAGCUACAGGUCGCGUGUUCGAUCCACGCAGGCAGCUC
rnacentral:tRNA from 1 species